UACGAAGGGGGCUAGCGUUGUUCGGAAUUACUGGGCGUAAAGGGCGCGUAGGCGGACCUGCAAGUCGGGGGUGAAAGCCCGAGGCUCAACCUCGGAACUGCCUUCGAUACUGCGGGUCUCGAGUCCGGGAGAGGUGAGUGGAAUUCCUAGUGUAGAGGUGAAAUUCGUAGAUAUUAGGAAGAACACCAGUGGCGAAGGCGGCUCACUGGCCCGGUACUGACGCUGAGGCGCGAAAGCGUGGGGAGCAAACAGG
rnacentral:rRNA from 1 species